rnacentral:siRNA from 1 species
GGAUCCCUCGCGGGUGCACCGC